rnacentral:rRNA from 1 species
GGCAGACGGGUGAGUAACACGUGGGAACGUGCCCAUCGGUUCGGAAUAACCCAGGGAAACUUGGGCUAAUACCGGAUACGUGCGCAAGCAGAAAGAUUUAUCGCCGAUGGAUCGGCCCGCGUCUGAUUAGCUAGUUGGUGAGGUAAUGGCUCACCAAGGCGACGAUCAGUAGCUGGUCUGAGAGGAUGAUCAGCCACACUGGGACUGAGACACGGCCCAGACUCCUACGGGAGGCAGCAGUGGGGAAUAUUGGACAAUGGGCGCAAGCCUGAUCCAGCCAUGCCGCGUGAGUGAUGAAGGCCCUAGGGUUGUAAAGCUCUUUUCGCACGCGACGAUAAUGACGGUAGCGUGAGAAGAAGCCCCGGCUAACUUCGUGCCAGCAGCCGCAGUAAU